UAAAAAAACAAACCUGAGAUUUCGUGUCCAACUUUGACUGUCCGUAUUAUAUGAAAUUUUUUUAUAAUUCGUAUUUUUAUUGUUGUUAAAUGAUAAAAUAUGAUUAAUAUUUUAUACGUGACUUAUCUUUUUAAUUUUUUUCAUAGUUUUUUCAAAUAAGACGAACGGUCAAACGUUGGACACGGAAACCAGGGUUUGUCUUUUU
rfam:Oryza rufipogon genomic scaffold, chr07